UACGGAGGUGGCGAGCGUUGUCCGGAAUCACUGGGCGUAAAGGGCGCGUAGGUGGCGCGGGAAGUCAACGGUGAAAGUUCGGGGCUCAACCCUGAAUCGGCCGUCGACUACUCCCGGGCUCGAGCACUGUAGAGGCAGAUGGAAUUCCGGGUGUAAGUGGUGGAAUGCGUAGAGAAUCCGGGAAGAACACCGGUGGCGAAGGCGGUCUGCUGGGCAGUUGCUGACACUGAGGCGCGAAAGCGUGGGGAGCGAACAGG
rnacentral:rRNA from 1 species